rnacentral:rRNA from 1 species
GGAGUUUGAUCUUGGCUCAGGAUGAACGCUGGCAGCAUUCUUAACACAUGCAAGUCGGAUGGGAAGUGGUGUUUCCAAUGGUGGACGGGUGAGUAACGUGUAAGAACCUACCCUUGGGAGGGGAACAACAACUGGAAACGACUGUUAAUACCCCAUAGGCUGAGGAGAAAAAGGAGGAAUCCGCUCAAGAAGGGGCUCGCGUCUGAUUAGUUAGGUUGGUGAGGCAAUGGCUUACCAAGGCGCGAUCAGUAGCUGAGUCCGGAGUGAUGAUCAGCCACAACUGGGACUGAGACAUGGCCCAGACUCCUACGGGAGGUAGCAGUGGGGAAUUUUCCACAAUGGGCGAAAGCCUAACGGAGCAAUUCCACGUGAAGGCAGAAGGCCCAUGGGUCAUGAACUUCUUUUCUCGAAGAAGAAAAAACGACGGUAUCUGAGGAAUAAGCAUCGGCUAACUUUGUGCCAGCAGUUGCGGUAAGAUAGAGGAUGCAAGCAUUAUCUUGAAUGAUUGGGUGUAAAGCAUCUGUAGGUGGCUUUUCAAGUUUGCUGUCAAAUCCCAGGGAUCAACCCUCGAUAGGCAGCGGAGACUACCAAGCUGGAGUAUGGUAGGGGCAGAGGGAAUUUCUGGUGGAGUAGUGAAAUGUGUUGAGAUCGGAAAGAACACUAAUGGUCAAAACACUCUGCUGGGCUGAAAUUGACACUGAGAGAUAAAAGCUAGGGGAGAAAAUCGGAUUAGAUACCCUUAGUAUCCACCGUAAACAAUGGUACUAAGUGUUGUGAGUACUCAACCCAGGCUGCCAGUGUCGUGCGCUUAACAAUUAAGUUAUCCCGCUGGGAUUACAUUCACAAGGAAAACUCAAAGGAGUUGACAGGGCCUGCACAGGUGGUGGUAGAUGUGGUUCAAUUCGAUGCAAAGUGAAGAACCUAUCGAGGCUGGACAUUUUGCAUGCUUCCUCCCAAAGAGAGGAGUGCCUUUGAGAACGCGACAUAGGUGCGAGUAUGUGCAUGGCUUAUCGUCAGCUCGUGCCGUAAGGUGUUAGGUUAUGUCCUACAAUGAGCACAACCUUCGCGUUUAGUUUCCAACAUUUAGUUUGGAACCCUGAACAAAAUGCUGGUGAUAAGCUCGAGGAAGGUGAGCGUCAAGUCAUCAUGCCUCUUACACCCUAGGCGACACACAUACUACAAUGACUGGGACAAAGGGUCGUGACCUCGCUAGGCCAAGCUAACCUCAAAAACUCUACCUCAGUUUGGAUUGCAGGCUACAGCUCACCUGCAUGAAGCUGGAAUCACUAGUAAUCGUCGAUCAUCCAUAUAGUGGUGAAUCCAUUCCCGAGCCUUGUACACACUUCCCGUCACAGUAUGGGAGUUGGCCAUGUGCCAAGUCGUUACCUUAACCACAAGGAGGGGGACGCCAAAGGCUGGGCUAGUGAAUGGAAUGAAGUCGUAACAAGGUAUCUGUACUGGAAGGUGCGACUG